rnacentral:rRNA from 1 species
UACGAAGGGGGCUAGCGUUGCUCGGAAUCACUGGCGUAAAGCGCACGUAGGCGGAUUGUUAAGUCAGGGGUGAAAUCCUGGAGCUCAACUCCAGAACUGCCUUUGAUACUGGCGAUCUCGAGUCCGGGAGAGGUGAGUGGAACUGCGAGUGUAGAGGUGAAAUUCGUAGAUAUUCGCAAGAACACCAGUGGCGAAGGCGGCUCACUGGCCG